AGACUUGGGGCCUGAUCCAAAGCCCAUUGGAGUCAAUGGAGAUCUUUCCAUUGACUUUGAUGAGCUCUGGAGCAGGCUCUUAAUAU
rnacentral:pre_miRNA from 1 species